rnacentral:rRNA from 1 species
AUUGAACGCUGGCGGCAGGCCUAACACAUGCAAGUCGAGCGGAUGAAGGGAGCUUGCUCCUGGAUUCAGCGGCGGACGGGUGAGUAAUGCCUAGGAAUCUGCCUGUUAGUGGGGGAUAACGUCCGGAAACGGGCGCUAAUACCGCAUACGUCCUGAGGGAGAAAGUGGGGGAUCUUCGGACCUCACGCUAUCAGAUGAGCCUAGGUCGGAUUAGUUAGUUGGUGGGGUAAAGGCCUACCAAGGCGACGAUCCGUAACUGGUCUGAGAGGAUGAUCAGUCACACUGGAACUGAGACACGGUCCAGACUCCUACGGGAGGCAGCAGUGGGGAAUAUUGGACAAUGGGCGAAAGCCUGAUCCAGCCAUGCCGCGUGUGUGAAGAAGGUCUUCGGAUUGCAAAGCACUUUAAGUUGGGAGGAAGGGCAGUAAGUUAAUACCUUGCUGUUUUGACGUUACCAACAGAAUAAGCACCGGCUAACUUCGUG